rnacentral:tRNA from 1 species
GCCUGGCUGGCUCAAUCAGUAGAGUAUGUGACUCUUGAUCUCAGGGUCACGAGUUAAAACCCCUUGUUGGGCA